CAGAUGGGCGUGGCUGUCGGAGGAGUGCUUUACUGAGCUUCAGGUCCUGAAAGGGUUUACGUGCUUAUGCAGGGACCUCCAGUGCCUUUUCAACGGCUCUGUGGACCUCGGACCUCGUGUUGUAGCCCAGAGUUUUACACUAACUGAAAAAAUUGUGUCCCGCCGGGAGGUUGAGGAGGAUGAUCACACACACACCUGCAGCUGAUCAGCUUUGUCUGGGAGAGCUACUUAGAAGAGUGGCUGAGUUCUCGUCAACGCUAGAUCAUUGCGCGGCUGCCUCUGUGAUUUUCCAGGAGGAUUGGGCAGUGAGCACUAGGUACAUGGACACGGACACUGGGAAAGAUACGGCGC
ensembl:lncRNA